UCAACGUAUCCACGUUUAUAAACCAAAUUCGUGAACUGUUUGCUUUAACCUUUGGGCUAUUGGCCGCUGUCUAUGACGUCAAACUCAUUGUAUGGUUAUGGGUUUGUCAUGUGACAAUUUAAGGCUGUUUCUCCAAAGUGUAUUAACCAUACGUUAAUUCUACUAUUAACCACUUGAACCCCUUUUAUUUUUAUUCUUUGUUUGAACUGAUUUGUUUCUUACUCAGCGCUCUCUCUUCUGAGAGUGCCGAGAAGAAAUCGAAUUACGAAACAAAAAAAAGAA
rnacentral:misc_RNA from 1 species